rnacentral:rRNA from 1 species
CGCGUAGGCGGCGAAUUUAGUUAGGCGUGAAAGCCCCGGGCUCAACCUGGGAACUGCGCUUAAUACUGAUUUGCUAGAGACCGGGAGAGGCGAGUGGAAUAUCCAGUGUAGAGGUGAAAUUCGUAGAUAUUGGAUGGAACACCGAUGGCGAAGGCAGCUCGCUGGACCGGUACUGACGCUGAGGCGCGAAAGCGUGGGGAGCAAACAGGAUUAGAUACCCUGGUAGUCC